rnacentral:rRNA from 1 species
CACGUAGGGUGCGAGCGUUGUCCGGAAUUAUUGGGCGUAAAGAGCUCGUAGGCGGUGUGUCGCGUCGGCCGUGAAAACCUGCAGCUUAACUGUGGGCUUGCGGUCGAUACGGGCAUCACUGGAGUUCGGCAGGGGAGACUGGAAUUCCGUGUGUAGCGGUGAAAUGCGUAGAGAUCUGGAGGAACACCGAUGGCGAAGGCAGCCUUCUGGGCCAACACUGACGCUCAUGCACGAAAGCGUGGGGAGCAAACAGG